GGAGGACCAUAGCUCAGUGGUAGAGCAUCUGCUUUGCAUACAGAAGGUCUCUGGUUCAGUCCCAGCAUCUCCA